AGAAGGUUUAAUUUGUACUCAAGAUUGGUUGAGAGCUGUUCGCGUGCCAAUUAAUGUUGAAGAGUGUAUCGAGAAUGCGGAACAAUUUGAGGCGGAUUUGGAUUGUCUUACCAAGGAGAUUAUCAUUGGAAAAUAAACUUCAUUUUGUCGAAACUCCAAUUUUGUGGUUUUUGUCAGAGAUUUUGUACCACGUGGAACGCAAGGCCGAAGAAGGAGAAGAAGAUCGAGCACAUGAAGGACAAGGUUGAUAUGUGAUUAGCCAAAAAUUGUAUUACAAC